CCCGUAUGUGUUUGUCCAUCAGCUGUGCGUGCAGAGCGUUACUCGAAUGCAUGAAACAGGAAGCCCACAGGACACUCCCCCAGCACACCCCGCUUCCUCUGCACUCCUGGAAGGAAGACCUGUUCUUGUUUCUUAUGUACUCUCAGGAUCUGGCACAGAACCUGACAAAGGGCCUUAACCACAGUUGUUUCCGACUGGUCCACUAGAGAAGCCUUGGUAUGAGUCAAGAGAGUGGGAUGUCUUCAUCAGCCUGUCAGUCAUGGAAAGAGAUUCCCAUGCAUCUUCUUCAGGUGGGCAGCUGGUCAUGUUUCUGGGCCCACCAGCUCUGAGGGUCACACUAUCUAGGGCCCGCUGAGCUGCUUUAGAAGAGCUUGGCACUGCAGGACAUAGGGCCAGGUACCCUGUUUCUUGAGGGCCAGAAAGCCCCUUCAGAGCCUUUCUCAUCUGCACACUUUCAGCAGACUCUCUGGAGCAGCCCAGCUUCCCAGAACUGAGACCCCCAAACCAAGAAGAGGAUGCACCUUGGACCUGGGUAAAAGGUCCUUUCCAAGCUACUGCUCGAAGAGGCCCAGGAGAAAUCAAAAGAUCAGGAACUCCUUUUGCGAUUGUGUAUGAUCCACCUUCAGUAUGGACGGUUGUUCUCCCGGCAGGUACUUCCCCUUAGCUUUUCUUCUUGGCUAAGUUCCUUUGCAAUUUAUUGUAGAACUUCUGCCGGCCAGAUGUUUCCCCCUAGAGUACACCUCAAUGUCAGUAGUCUACUCUUGUGGAUUCGAUAAUUCGCUAUGAUUCUGAACAGGAUUUGUAGGAUCGCUCUACUAUUAUAAGGGACAGAAAACCCUAUACCGAAAAGGGCAAUGCACAUAGCCUUUUUUCUGUUUUUGAAACAUGUUCUUUUAUGAUUGGAAGUGAAAGGACAAGAAAAGAAAAGUUGAUGCUGAAAUCAUUAGGAAACAGGUUUAGUCACUGAGGCUAAAAUAUAAAAGCAUAGAAUGAAAACCUCUUACAACCCUGGUGGAGUCUUACAUAAAAACUAAAGGUCUUUCAAUAAAAAUAGCUCAAAUUUCUGCUAUGAUGACAUGUAUAAUGAUGAUAUGGAUGAUGAAGACUAGGAAGAGGAAUAUGCCAACUAUGAGAUGUGGUUUGAGUGUCUGACCAAGUGCCAUGCAUGCAUUGAUUAGUGACUGAAAUAUUUAUACUGGAAUGUUCAGCAGUUUUAUGACAUUUGGCAUUUUGGCUUGAUUGGUAUCAAUUUGUUCAAGCUGGGUCAAGAAGGACUCUGGAGUCACAUGCAGGGUCAUCUGGAAACUAUGCAAUGAUCAAUUUUAGAGGCAUCAGAUACAGCCAAGAAAGGAGGUGGAGAGCAAGUAUGUCAUGGACUUAACCAUCCAUGCAACUUAAACUGUGGUUUGUUUGUGUCUCUUCUCAUUCUGCGAGGGGUUGAGUCAUCUCAGCUGUUGUGUUUUGUGUAGGGUUAUUCAUAAA
rnacentral:lncRNA from 1 species